rnacentral:rRNA from 1 species
UACGUAGGGGGCAAGCGUUGUCCGGAAUCAUUGGGCGUAAAGGGUGCGUAGGCGGUUGUUUAAGUCUGUCGUGAAAUCCCCGGGCUCAACCUGGGAAUGGCGAUGGAUACUGGGCAGCUAGAGUGUGUCAGAGGAUGGUGGAAUUCCCGGUGUAGCGGUGAAAUGCGUAGAGAUCGGGAGGAACAUCAGUGGCGAAGGCGGCCAUCUGGGACAACACUGACGCUGAAGCACGAAAGCGUGGGGAGCAAACAGG